rnacentral:tRNA from 1 species
GCCUUCGUGGUGCAGUGAUUAGCACACUCGGCGCAUAUUCGAGAGGUCCGUGGUUCGACUCCCGGCGAGGGCA